CCUACGGGCGGCAGCAGUGGGGAAUAUUGGACAAUGGGGGGAACCCUGAUCCAGCCAUGUCGCGUGUGUGAAGAAGGCCCUCGGGUUGUAAAGCACUUUCAGUGAGGAAGAACGCCUGGUGGUUAAUACCCAUCAGGAAAGACAUCACUCACAGAAGAAGCACCGGCUAACUCCGUGCCAGCAGCCGCGGUAAUACGGAGGGUGCGAGCGUUAAUCGGAAUUACUGGGCGUAAAGCGCGCGUAGGUGGCUUGAUAAGCCGGUUGUGAAAGCCCCGGGCUCAACCUGGGAACGGCAUCCGGAACUGUCAAGCUAGAGUGCAGGAGAGGAAGGUAGAAUUCCCGGUGUAGCGGUGAAAUGCGUAGAGAUCGGGAGGAAUACCAGUGGCGAAGGCGGCCUUCUGGACUGACACUGACACUGAGGUGCGAAAGCGUGGGUAGCAAACAGGAUUAGAUACCCCGGUAGUC
rnacentral:rRNA from 1 species